rnacentral:lncRNA from 1 species
AGAGGGGAGGUAGAAGAAAGACAUGCCAGGGAGAGACCACAGCCUGAUGCUUUGGGAGUCUGUGUACUUGCGUGCUUACUAUGACCUAUCAAUGUGCUAACAUGAUUGCAUCUAAUCAUGACAUAAUAGUCCACAUAGUGUGGACUUGGGAGUCAGACCUACUCUGUUCAAUUGCUGUUUUGCCCUUUGCUGGUUGUACCACCUUGGGCAAGCUGAUUCACGUCUCUGAGCCUUAGUUGUCUCAUCUUUAAAGUGGAGAUGCACCUGUGCAUGGGGUGGUGUGCGGUGUAGAUGCAUUCGUGUUUGGGAUGUAGUAGCACGGUGCUGGAUUACGGUCCUAGAGAUAAACUGAUGAACAAGAAAGCAAAGUCCUUCCUUCCAUGCAGAGACAGACAACAAGCAAGGAGCCAAACAGGAUAAUGUUGGACAGUAAUUCCUUACAAUGAAGGACAUGAACAAGUGUUAAUUCGAAUGGCAGCUUCUGGGAUGGGACUUAAACACUCUGCAGUUUCUGACCUCUGUGGAAUUUGAAAAGCCAAAGGUCUAGUAAAGUAAAAAUUAG